rnacentral:rRNA from 1 species
CGCUGGCGGCGUGCCUAACACAUGCAAGUCGAACGGUUCUGUUGGGGGCUUGCUCUCGACAGAGUAGUGGCAAACGGGUGAGUAACACGUGGGUAAUCUUCCUUCGAGUGAGGAAUAACUUCGGGAAACCGGAGCUAAUACCGCAUAACAUCUUGGAACGGCAGUUUUAAGAUCAAAGGGGGCGCAAGCUCCCGCUUGAAGUUGAGCUCGCGUCCUAUCAGCUAGUUGGUGAGGUAAUGGCUCACCAAGGCUCCGACGGGUAGCCGGCCUGAGAGGGUGGCCGGCCACACUGGGACUGAGACACGGCCCAGACUCCUACGGGAGGCAGCAGUGGGGAAUAUUGCGCAAUGGACGAAAGUCUGACGCAGCGACGCCGCGUGGGUGAUGAAGGCCUUCGGGGUCGUAAAGCCCUGUUGAGGGAGAGAAAGCUACUGUCGGUUAAUACCCGGCAGUGGUGAUAGUAUCCCUAGAGAAAGCACCGGCUAACUACGUG